GUAUUAAUCAAUUUAAAACCAAAAAAUAACUAAGAAGAUAGUAAAUAAUCAACCUUAUUACCACCAAAAUAAGUGUCUAGGAAAUUCUUUAUUAUCUUGACUUUGAUCCUAAGACUAGCCCUAGGAGCUUUGAUCAUUAACUUAGGUUAUAAACUUAAUAUUUAAUUUAUGAAAAUCAAUUUCAAGAGUUAAGUUCAUGAUUAUUUAUUUUUCUUAA
rnacentral:misc_RNA from 1 species